UGUAUUUAUUAGAUUAAAAACCAAUGCCCUUCGGGGCUCCUUGGUGAUUCAUAAUAACUUAACGAAUCGCAUGGCCUUGUGCCGGCGAUGGUUCAUUCAAAUUUCUGCCCUAUCAACUUUCGAUGGUAGUAUAUGGGACUACCAUGGUUUCAACGGGUAACGGGGAAUUAGGGUUCUAUUCCGGAGAGGGAGCCUGAGAAACGGCUACCACAUCCAAGGAAGGCAGCAGGCGCGCAAAUUACCCAAUCCCGACACGGGGAGGUAGUGACAAUAAAUACUGAUACAGGGCUCUUUUGGGUCUUGUAAUUGGAAUGAGUACAAUUUAAAUCCCUUAACGAGGAGCAAUUGGAGGGCAAGUCUGGUGCCAGCAGCCGCGGUAAUACCAGCUCCAAUAGCGUAUAUUAAAGUUGUUGCAGUUAAAAAGCUCGUAGUUGAACCUUGGGCCUGGCUGGCCGGUCCGCCUCACCGCGUGCACUGGUCCGGCCGGGUCUUUCCUCCUGGGGAGCCGCAUGCCCUUCACUGGGUGUGUCGGGGAACCAGG
rnacentral:rRNA from 1 species